rnacentral:rRNA from 1 species
AUGUGUAUUCCAAAGAAAGAAGGGGGUAUGGGCUUCAGAGAUAUUCACUGCUUUAAUCUUGCACUUCUGGCAAAACAGGCAUGACGCCUUAUUGACAACCCGGACUCUUUGUGUGCGUUGAUCCUUAAGGCGAAAUAUUUUCCUGGUGGAGAUCUCAUGAAUGCAACUUUAAAAAAGAAGGCUUCAUAUACAUGGCGGAGUAUUAUGGCCGGAGUUGAUACGCUCAGACGUGGGUAUAUUUGGAGAGUUGGUGAUGGUGAGAAAAUUAGCAUAUGGGAUGAUCCCUGGAUACCUCAUAGCCCAACAAGAAAGGUGAUUUCACCAAGGGGCAACAAUCUUCUUUCUAGAGUUUCUGACCUCAUUGAUCCAGUGACAGGGAGUUGGGAUGAGCAGCUGGUUAACCAAACGUUCUGGCAAGUGGAUGUUCGAAGGAUUUUGGCCAUUCCACUACCAUUACAUGAGAUGACAGAUUUCCUGGCAUGGAACAUGACAAAGUCAGGGACUUUCACGGUGCGAUCUGCAUACGAUACAGAAUGGGAAUUUCAAUUUGGGCAGAAGUUGGAAUCAACGGCUGGAGCUUCAAACCCAUCUUAUACAUGGGACUCGGUAUGGAACUUAGUCUGCCCAGCAAAGAUAAAAAUAUUUAUGUGGCCCGCGCUCCAGAGUGCUAUUCCCUGUCGAUCUAUCCUGGCUAAUAAGCACUUGAAAAUAAAUCCGAGUUGCCCAGCCUGUAACCAGGGGCCUGAUGACAUAAGACAUAUGUUGUUCGAAUGCAAAUUGGCAAUGGACGUGUGGAAGAUGCUCGGUCUUGAGCUUGUUAUC